rnacentral:rRNA from 1 species
GAAUAUUGGUCAAUGGGCAAGAGCCUGAACCAGCCAUGCCGCGUGUAGGAUGACGGCCUUCUGGGUUGUAAACUGCUUUUAUCAGGGAACAAAAAGGCCAUGCGUGGCAAACUGAGGGUACCUUAAGAAUAAGCACCGGCUAACUCCGUGCCAGCAGCCGCGGUAAUACGGAGGGUGCAAGCGUUGUCCGGAUUUAUUGGGUUUAAAGGGUGCGUAGGCGGCUUUUUAAGUCAGUGGUGAAAUCCUGCAGCUCAACUGUAGAACUGCCAUUGAUACUGGAAAGCUUGAGUACAGACGAGGUAGGCGGAAUUUAUGGUGUAGCGGUGAAAUGCAUAGAUACCAUAAAGAACACCUAUAGCGAAGGCAGCUUACUAGACUGUAACUGACGCUGAGGCACGAAAGCGUGGGGAGCGAACAGG